AAAUAGGAUAUUGCACGAGCAUGGGUGUAAUAACAAAUUUAUAUCCAAUUGAAGCUAUACGGUACACGCACUGCGCAUGCGCAAAGCAAUUUUACACGUGACAAGUACCUGACAAGUAGAGGAGAGCUUAGAGAUGGCUGACAGGAGCGCCCAAAAACUAGAGGUAAGUGUCGCUUUCAUUAAAGAGAAGGAAGGCGGAGAGGACAGCGAGCGUUUAAGAAGAAAGAAGGAAGGUGGAGAGGACAGCGAGCGUUUAAGAAGAAAGAAGGAAGGUGGUGAGGACAGCGAGCGUUU